AUAUUUUAUAUUUAAAAAAAAAAAGAUAAAAAAUUAAUAACCUAAGACCUGAAAAAUCUAAAAUUUAUACAUGAGCCAUAAUUUCACUUUGAAUAUGGACAUGCAAGACAGUAACCUUGAUUUCCAAACUUAAGCCACCAUGGGAAUUACUUAAACAAUAAAUAUAGCAAGGUCCAAGCCAAGCAAAUGCAUGGAACAUGGAAUUAGAGGGAGAAUGCAAUGAACUCUUUAGGGGAGUUUUUAUAAAGCUGAUGGGCACUUUUAGAAGUUGGAAUAACUAACAAUAUUGUUUUCUACAGAUAUGCUAAGGUUGAACUAAUAGGUUAUAGGAUUAAUUUAUCUCAAAGUUAGAGCUCACAUCAAAACACGGUUAUUUAUGCAACUGCAACCAUAUAUAUACUCCAUUAUGAUUCUGCUAAACUUGAAUGAUUAUUACAGGUUGAGAUUCAUUAAAUGAUCAUUCUUCACUUUCCAUUCCUUCAAAUGAGAUGUCAAAAAAGUGCACACACACACACACAUUCUGAGAGAGAGAGAGAGAGAG
rnacentral:misc_RNA from 1 species